AAGAUCAUACUUCACAGGAUCAUUUCUGUAGUAUAUCUUCACAGACUUUCUACCCAAAGUAGGAGUCGAUGCAACCACGAUGAGGAGACGUAGCUCUCCUUCCUGAGCGUGAGAACGGCUUGAGAUUUCGGCUUUGCUGAAAUUUCAGUCCAUCGAUGAUCGUUCACCUUCUGUUCUCUGAAUGGAAGGCAUGGAAGGGUGAGCUGUCUGAGUGGC